GAUGAACGCUGGCGGCGUGCCUAAUACAUGCAAGUCGAGCGCACGGAUGAGAAGCUUGCUUCUCUGAUGUUAGCGGCGGACGGGUGAGUAAAACGUGGAUAACCUACCUAUAAGAAUAGGAUAACUUCGGGAAACCGUAGCUAAUACAGGAUAAUAUUUUGAACCGCAUGGUUCAAAAGUGAAAGAUGGUCCUGCAGUCACUUAUAGAUGGAUCCGCGCUGCAUUAGCUAGCUGGUAAGGUAACGGCUUACAAAGGCAACGAUGCAUAGCCGACAUGACCGGGUGGACGGGUAGACGGGAUGUGAGAGUCGGUCCAGACUCCUGCAGUAGGCAGCAGUAGGGAAUCUUCCGCGAGGGAGGAGUGCCUGACAGAGCAACGCCGCGUGAAUGAUGAAGGUCUUCGUAUCUGAGAACGCUGUUAGUAGGGAAAAAGAAAUGUGUAAUUAACAGUGCACAUCUAGUCGGGACCUAAGCAGAAGACGACGGCUAACUACAUG
rnacentral:rRNA from 1 species